CGGAUGCAAAGUGGCGCUGGUUGGGAUGAGAAGACCUGCAUGAUAGUUGCUGAGAAGGCUUUGUGGGAUAAUCUAGAAAUCUCCUUUCCAAGAAUUGGGAAAUUCAAGAGAAAUGGCUUUCCUAUGUAUGAUUCUCUUGGAGAUCUAUAUGAUGGCCAAAUAGCUGAGGGGAAUCACAAUUUCACUUCAAGCUCUAAGGCAUCUCAACUUGAUGAAGAGUUUGAAGAUGAGAGAGUGCAAGAAGGC